CAGUCGCCGCGGUAAUACGAAGGGGGCUAGCGUUGCUCGGAAUCACUGGGCGUAAAGGGUGCGUAGGCGGGUCUUUAAGUCAGGGGUGAAAUCCUGGAGCUCAACUCCAGAACUGCCUUUGAUACUGAAGAUCUUGAGUUCGGGAGAGGUGAGUGGAACUGCGAGUGUAGAGGUGAAAUUCGUAGAUAUUCGCAAGAACACCAGUGGCGAAGGCGGCUCACUGGCCCGAUACUGACGCUGAGGCACGAAAGCGUGGGGAGCAAACAGGAUUAGAUACCCCCGUAGUCCCUGUCUCUUAUAC
rnacentral:rRNA from 1 species